rnacentral:tRNA from 1 species
GGGGUGUAGUCCAGUGAUAGAGCAAUUGUCUAGCAUGCUAGAGGCCCUGGGUUUGAAUCCCAGUACCACCA